GCCGGGCGCGAUGGCUCUCACCUGUAAUCCUAGCACUUUGGGAGGCUGAGGUGGGUGGAUCACCUGAGGUCAGGAGUUUGGGAGCAGCCUGGCCAACAAGGUGAAACCCCAUCUCUA
ensembl:misc_RNA Metazoa_SRP Metazoan signal recognition particle RNA